rnacentral:rRNA from 1 species
GACGAACGCUGGCGGCGUGCUUAACACAUGCAAGUGGAGCGACGAACCAGGGCUUGCCCUGGGGGCAGAGCCGCGAACGGGUGAGUAACACGUGGGUAACGUGCCCGACUGAUCGGGACGAACCCGGGGAAACCCCGGGACGUAAUACCGAAUAGUGCUCCCCUCCACACCAGUGAGGGAUGGAAAGGAAGCUUCGGCCUCCGCAUCGGGAGUCGGCCCGGCCGGCCCACUUAGCUUGUUGGUGAGGUAACGGCUCACCAAGGCUGCGAUGGGUAGCUGGUCUGAGAGGACGAUCAGCCACACUGGGAC